rnacentral:lncRNA from 1 species
AAUUUUGAGAAAAUGAGAGCCAAAGCAAGAAAAAAGAAUUGGCCACUUGUUGCAGCUAUUGCCUUCAAAAUUUCUAUCUACAAAUUAUUUUAGAUCUCUCUUAUCAUAGCUUUUUUUUUACAUGCUAAAUCUUAUUGAAAAGAUGACAAAGAAAUCUAGCUUUUCUCAAAAUUUCAAAUCAAAAAGAAAAAAAAUGCAAGAAAUGGCAUAGAAAAUUCCAAAUUAGUCUUGAAUCAUGACGUCUCAAAAAGUCUAGCAACCCCCCUCCCAAAAACUCACAUAGAUCUCUCUUGUUAUAAUUCUUCUUCUUCCAAUGCUAAGGCUUCUUGAAAAAAUAAUAAUGAAAUCCAACUUCUAUCAAAAUUUCAAAUCAUAAAGAAGAAAAUAUAAGAAAUGGUACAAAAAAUCCUAAACUAGUCUUAAAUCAUGUUGCCUUAAAAACUCCAGAAAUCCCCCACCCACAACCUUCCAUGGAUAUCCUUCAUCAUAGCUCUUCUUCUUGUGUGCUAAAUCUUAUUGGAAAGCUAACAACAAGAUUUAAUUUUCUUUCAAAUUUAAAUAUAAGAAAAUAAAAAUUUAGUAAGUAGCAUCAAAAAUCUUGUACUAGUGUUGAAAAUUCUUGCCUCU